rnacentral:rRNA from 1 species
UACGGAGGGUGCAAGCGUUGUCCGGAAUCACUGGGCGUAAAGGGCGCGUAGGCGGCUCAUGAAGGCUGUGGUGAAAGUCCGGGGCUCAACCUCGGAUCGGCCGUGGCGACUCGUGGGCUGGAGCACUGUAGAGGCGGGUGGAAUUCCGGGUGUAGCGGUGGAAUGCGUAGAGAUCCGGAAGAACACCAGUGGCGAAAGCGGCUUCCUGGUCCAGCACCGACGUCAGGCACGAAAGCGUGGGGAGCAAACAGGG